UAGUCCUAGCAGUAAACGGUGCGCGCUUGCUGUGGGCGGAUUCGACCCCGUCCGUGGCGGAGCUAACGCGUUAAGCGCGCCGCCUGGGGAGUACGGCCGCAAGGUUAAAACUCAAAGAAAUUGACGGGGGCCUGCACAAGCGGUGGAGUAUGUGGCUUAAUUCGAUGCAACGCGAAGAACCUUACCUGGCCUUGACAUGCAUCUCUAAGGCUGUGAAAGCAGUCGAGCUCUUCGGAGUAAUUUGCACAGGUGCUGCAUGGCUGUCGUCAGCUCGUGUCGUGAGAUGUUGGGUUAAGUCCCGCAACGAGCGCAACCCUUGUGUCCUGUUGCCACCCGAACGUAAGUUCGGAGCACUCUGGACAGACUGCCUGGUUCCAACCAGGAGGAAGGUGGGGAUGACGUCAAGUCAGUAUGGCCCUUACGGCCAGGGCUGCACACGUACUACAAUGCCUAGCACAGAGGGAAGCAAGACCGCAAGGUGGAGCAAAUCCCCAAAACU
rnacentral:rRNA from 1 species